CGCACAUUGCGCCCUCUGGUAUUCCGGGGGGCAUGCCUGUUCGAGCGUCAUUACACCUCUCAAGCCUAGCUUGGUAUUGGAGGAUGCGGUGGUCAAAAACCGCACCUCUCGAAGUCUUCCGGCUGGUAUUAACUUAAACCUUUGCGUUGUGGAAACAUUUUUCGCUCAAGUUUGGUUGAUAGUCUUUCGCCGUUAAAACAUUUUUUUACACAAGGUUGACCUCGGAUCAGGUAGGGAUACCCGCUGAACUUAA
rnacentral:misc_RNA from 1 species